AUAGAGCAAACAUGCGUUUCAUUGAAAUCAAACGAUAUUCGUAUCGGGAUGGAAGCUUCAGCAACACGAAACAUAAAGGUGUCCAUUGAAAACAUCGUGGAGAAAAUGUCGCAGAGAACCCAACACAAGAGGAAAGCAUCGUAGGAGAAAAGAAAAUGGUAGCAUCUAGUAAUGGCCCUGAUCGGUGUAACGGUUGGCGUUCCUCUCUGCUGUAUCGCUCAUUGGUCUUGGGUUUGAAUCCAGAAGAAGGCGCAGUAUUUGUAAGCGUAUAGUGUAUGUGCAACGUAGAGACACUGAAAAUGCACGGCGAGCUGAAUGACCUCUUUAGUAGUUUGGCUGUGGGGAAGAGGGAUAUGAGACCCUAGAACACAUCUCCGGGGGCGCUCUUCAUCAAAAUUAGGGCAGAAUUGGAUUAAGUAGUACUGCCACCUGUAAGGUGCACAGGGAUCAUACAAUAACGACAUACACAAUCUUGCGCUCCUUGCCACAAUAAAAUUCGUGGAAUUAUUCUGAUUUGGUCACACAAAUGAGACGAACCACAAGAAGAGUAAUAGAUAAACUUCAAAUAAUUUGGACUGCAUUUCGCAUAAUGUUCUGAAAAAAAAAAAAAAAAAAAAAAAAAAAAAAAAAAAAAAAAAAAAAA